UCUGAGCGCCUCCUGCUGGUCACCACCACCGCUACCACCUUCAAAGCGCUCAUUGCGGAGAGGUUACUAUCAGUCGGUCACAGAGGAGGAUCAUUACAGGUUCCAAACCAAUGAGAGCAGGUAGCAUGGCGACGUUGAGCCGAAACGCCGCUUUCUAAUCUAAUCGUCGUUAUUGAUGCAACGCACGUACUCACGAGGCUCCCCGACUAUGCGACGGGACACAUUCAUGUGUGGUUGGCGCCAGUGUUUAUCGCCAUGAAGGCAGCUUCAGGUUACCGCGACUUGCUUUCGUUUCCCUGCAGGCUGCGGCCAGGACCGUGCAAGUUAAACGGUUAAAGGGGCCUGAUCUGCCCUCGUCUGACAGUCCUAACAUUUCCAUAUGGACAUGAGAGGCUUCAGGAGGUGGUGAUGGAGCUCCAGGAGUUGAGCUGGCUGGCUCUAGUGGGGCUCUUCCUGGCCUCCAUGCUCAUAGUGCUGGCCUGGCUCUUGCAGUACUCGCUGACCCUCCUUCGGCUGUGGAGAACCAGGAAGGCGGCCGAACAGCGUCAACAUCAGCAGCAUCUCUCUCUCAGGCAGCAUCACGGCUGGGCUGGGAGUGUGCGGGGCUUCCUGGUGAAGCUUCGUAUGGCUCGGGAUGGAGGAGCUGCAUCUGAAGCCGGGGUUAAAGCCUUGUUGACCUCUCUCUUGUCCUUCAAGUCAAUCAGGGAACAGUGUCUCAGGAGCUGGGUGAAAGCUUUGAAUGAGCAAGCCUGCAGAAACGGGAGCUCCAUCCAAAUCACUUUUGACAGCAGUCUGCAGUUUACUGCCACUCCUGCAAUAGAGACUGUCACCUGCACAGACCAAUCAGCACAAAGAAUGGUUUUACAUUGUACAUGUCGGGUGGACACGGUGGCAUUUCCUGUGACGGUUACACGGCAGUCCCCUGCCGCCAUCGCCAUGGACACCUAUCAAAUUACGAUUGCGCCUACAGCAGCAAAGGUGGUCGCAUGUCUGAAAGAGGUGGAAGACGAAGGUAUCCAAGUGUCGUGGACUAUUUCCAAGCAACCAUCUUUUAAACUGUCAGCAUCGUCAUGCAAACUGCAGAGACAUGGUGCCAAUGCAGAGGUAGACCUGGACGUGAUCACGAGCCUGAUAGAAGAUACUCUGUUCAGCUCUCAUCCAGCCAUGGUCCUCAACCUCAGGGCCUGUGCAGCUACUACUCCUGCCACCAUGGAGCAUCUAUCAGUAGGACUAAAGCCUGUACCCCAGAGUGUCUUGGUGCGCCGACUACUGCUACGGCAGCUCAGAGCGACCCUAAGCAAAGGUCAGUGGUGUAGCUCAGUGGAGCUGUGCUGCGUCAUAAGCCUGAACCAACCCUCCACAGAAAGGACAACCUGCUUCCUGCCUGUGCCAAACAACCCCAAUACCCCUCUGGAAUGGAGAGAAGAAAUUACCCUGGAACUGAGCCCAGAAACCAAAGAGCUGAGAGUGAGACUUCUGGAGCGGAAUGGCAAAAGCGAGCAAUUUCUCCCAGGACAUGCCUCCUUGGCCUUAGACCUGCAGUCCAAAGUUCCUACCUCUGUCACACUCACAGUAAAGUCAAGCACCGCUUUGGAACUUAUUGCCACCAUCACAGCAGAACUUCAGUAUGUGGAAAGUGAGGAACUUCUCCCACCACUCCGUUCCUCACUCACCCCUACCAAAAAGGUUGACGUUGAUCGAACCAUCAUGCCGGAUGGAACCAUCGUCACCACUGUGACAACUGUUCAGUCCCGACUCAAACUGGAAUGCAGCCCAGGGGAGUCACCGUUGCGUUCCCCGUCCAAAGUGGAGGUGACUGAGAAGAAGCCCACCGUUCUCCAUGAUGGAAGAGAAACGCCCAGUCCUGAUCCCAGCAAGGGCACCCGCUUGUCUAACGGCUUGGAUCCUGUUGCAGAAACAGCCAUUCGACAGCUGACCGAGUCCAACUCCAAAAUGGCUCGUAAGACCCCAACGAAAAGAAGCACGCUGAUCAUCUCGGGCGUGUCAAAGGUUCCACUCUCUAAGGACGAGUGCACUUUGUCGAGUGGCUAUGCCGCCGCAAUGGACGCCACCAUGCAAAGCAACCAGUUUGGGUUGGGUCGACACCAGGAGCCAGAGGAGACCACACCGUCGGAUGUGUCGGAGCGUCCGUCUGUGGACGAUGUGGAAUCAGACACUGGCUCCACUGGUGCCUUGGAAACACGCAGCCUGAAGGACCAUAAAGUGGGAAUUCUGCGAAGUGGAUCAAAGCUGCUGUUCCGCAGAAGACACCGGGAGAAGGAGCCCUGCCUCAGCCAGUCUCAUGAAGACAUCUCCAAAAUGGAGAAUAACUUUGCAGCGAAUUCAGCAAACAGUCGAAAGAAGUCCGGCAGCUUCUCACGACGGCUCAUCAAGCGCUUCUCUUUUCGAUCAUCGGGGAAAUGGAAAGGGAAAUCUGCAAGCACCAAUGGGGGAGCAAGCUCUGCCAAUAACUGAUAUCUUGCUGACUCAGCACAUUGGAUGGAGGACACCAUUUGAAAUACUCCAGGACAAAUCAAAUUACUGAAGCUGAAAUGAGAUGAAGACUAUUGUUUUGGAGGGUAAUAUUUUGCUGGACUGAGACAUGGGAACAGUUGCAAUGAAAUGCUGUGCUUCUUUUUAACUCUUCUUUGAAAUCAUUUAAUGAUGCCACUACAAUGGUAGUGGUGCACUUUAGACUCUACUGGUUUUUUUUUUACAUUCUACAUAACAUGUGGGAUGCAUGCAUAAAAGUAAUUUAUUAUUGUGUGGUUCUCAUGAAAUAAGUGCUAUUUAUUUUAACCAUACAAUGGGUUGUCUUAGUUGCAUUACGCUGUAAAAUAGAGACAUUGCUGUGAUUUUCCAUACAAAAAAACCUGCAAAUUUACAUGUUAAUCUAGUCAUGUUUUCCUCUUGUGAUUGUGUACACAUUGCUUUAAGACAGGGGUGUCCAAACCUUUUCCACAGAGGGGCCGCAUAAAAAAAUAUUAAAGGAUGCGGGGGCCACUUUGAUACAUUUUGUAGAUUAAAGAUACUACAAUCAGUACAUUAUAGGUCAAUCAAUAUAUGUUAAAGCAUCUGAACACAACAUGACAUCUUAGCUUUGUACUAAAUUAAGCAUUUUAAAGCAUAAAAAUGGCUAAAUGAACUAAAAACAAAAAAAACAAUAUGACCAAGCUAUUGUGGCCACUGAUUGGCUCAACCUCAGAGCAUUACUAACAUUAGCAUGCUAACUUUUUCCACCAAUUUUGUAGCCAAACGCCAGGCUUAGACUAAUAUAACCUGGUACUUGACACAUUUAGCAUGCUAACAAUCGCAGGCUAACUUUUUUUAGGCAGUUUUGCAGCUGAACACCUCAGAAUCAUAACUUGGUACUUUGACAAUGGUUAACUGUUAGAAUGAUGAUGCUAACUUUUUAUUUUUUAGCUAAUUUUACAUGCGUACGCUAAAUUGUCAUAUGAGGUGGUACUUGACACAUUCUAACUGUUGGCAUGCUAACGUUAGUAUUUUAAAAUGUGUUGCAGGAAAAUUAAAAACAAGCUGCGGGCUGCAAAUGGCCCCCUGGCUGCACUUUGGACACCCCUGCUUUAAGCUAUUAUUCAAUGAUGUAGUUUUUAAAAUAAGCAGGAAACUUACAUAUUCUACUUUUUUAAAUAAAUUCAUUUUGGUUUGCAGCGGAGUUUCUUCAAAAGUACAGUCGGCGCCUUUAUUGUUAAAACAAUAUGUCGUUUAUUGGUACUGUCCAUGUAAAAAAAAAAAAAAAAGAUUGGGCCCUUCUACUUCACGAAAGCACAAUGUGUACUGAAAAGCAUUAUAUUUGAGAUGAUGCUUACAAACAUUUCUGCAUUGAAAUACAAUAAACGUUUUCUUAGGUUGCAGGGAUAAAAUGCUAAAUAAAAUGUAUCAUUAUGUUACAAGUUUUGUAAGUGUUCCAAAAGGCCCCUGUGAAUAUGAUGAAGGACUUGUUAUGAAGAGGAUGUACUCACUGCUCAGGGUUCAAAUACAACAUGGCUUCCACUGAAAACGUUUGAAGGCAAACAGUCAGGAUGUACGUACAGUAGACACAUUUGGCCGCUUAGCAAAAGAUUUCCGUUUUUUCCGCAGUAGCUUUAAAAUUUGAAACAGGAAUUGAGAAACUGCAUCCAUGAAGAUAUUGAUGGAUAUAUACAUGAAGGAUCAAUCCAAACGGCAACGUGUAAAAGUGAACAAAGCCACGGGAAUGUGAAACCGGAAAUGGUGGCUGGGUGGUUCCUGUUGUGAUUUUGAGAUGUUUAAUAUAUCGCAAAUAAAUUAUUUUGAAACCACUCUUCAUUCGGAUGUG